rnacentral:rRNA from 1 species
CAAACUUGGUCAUUUAGAGGAAGUAAAAGUCGUAACAAGGUCUCCGUUGGUGAACCAGCGGAGGGAUCAUUACCGAGUUUACAACUCCCAAACCCCUGUGAACAUACCACUUGUUGCCUCGGCGGAUCAGCCCGCUCCCGGUAAAACGGGACGGCCCGCCAGAGGACCCCUAAACUCUGUUUCUAUAUGUAACUUCUGAGUAAAACCAUAAAUAAAUCAAAACUUUCAACAACGGAUCUCUUGGUUCUGGCAUCGAUGAAGAACGCAGCAAAAUGCGAUAAGUAAUGUGAAUUGCAGAAUUCAGUGAAUCAUCGAAUCUUUGAACGCACAUUGCGCCCGCCAGUAUUCUGGCGGGCAUGCCUGUUCGAGCGUCAUUUCAACCCUCAAGCACAGCUUGGUGUUGGGACUCGCGUUAAUUCGCGUUCCUCAAAUUGAUUGGCGGUCACGUCGAGCUUCCAUAGCGUAGUAGUAAAACCCUCGUUACUGGUAAUCGUCGCGGCCACGCCGUUAAACCCCAACUUCUGAAUGUUGACCUCGGAUCAGGUAGGAAUACCCGCUGAACUUAAGCAUAUCAAUAAGCGGAGGA